rnacentral:rRNA from 1 species
UACGGAGGGUGCAAGCGUUAUCCGGAUUCACUGGGUUUAAAGGGAGCGUAGGUGGGCUGGUAAGUCAGUGGUGAAAUCUCCGGGCUUAACUCGGAAACUGCCGUUGAUACUAUCAGUCUUGAAUAUUGUGGAGGUAAGCGGAAUAUGUCAUGUAGCGGUGAAAUGCUUAGAUAUGACAUAGAACGCCGAUAGCGAAGGCAGCUUGCUACACAAUUAUUGACACUGAGGCUCGAAAGCGUGGGGAUCAAACAGG